rnacentral:rRNA from 1 species
GACGAACCGUGCGAACGUUGUUCGGAAUCACUGGGCUUAAAGGGCGCGUAGGCGGGCUGUCAAGUCCGGGGUGAAAUCCUCCAGCUCAACUGGAGAAUGGCCUCGGAUACUGAUGGUCUCGAGGAGGAUAGGGGCACACGGAACUGUGGGUGGAGCGGUGAAAUGCGUUGAUAUCCACAGGAACUCCGGUGGCGAAAGCGGUGUGCUGGAUCCUUUCUGACGCGUAAGACGCGAAAGCGUGGGGAGCAAACAGG